rnacentral:lncRNA from 1 species
CAGAGGGUGUCCUGGUUCGAGGCUUCGUUCGCUGCCAGGGGAUAGCUUUCGAGGUGGGUUACAUCGGCUUUACUUCUAAGUGUUAUUAGUCGACAUGUAUAAAUCGUGAUUUCUACACUAGUUGUUAGCUCAAAUUCAUGGAUUAUUGUUAGAAUGUAAAAUUUGAAUUUUCGAGCAUAUUUUAUCAAGUAAAUAGACUAUACAUGUUGGACUUGGAAAUUGAAUUAGGAGAAAACCUGCGAUUUGAACCUGUCACCAGUUUUAACUACCUGAUUUAGCUCUAGGAGCCGUUAGAAAAUUGUACUGUCGUAGUUUCUUCGAGACGGGUACUCCAGGUAGUUCAGAAUGUAUUUACACUCGUGCUGGUUCGCCGAGCGGAUUUUUACAGGGUCGUUCAGGUCGCUUCGGACUGUUGGGUGCCGUCAGAAUUGACGGUGGACCCAUAUCGCCUUUUUGGCGUCAGAUUGUGCCGAGGGCACGUUACCUAUUGGUUGUUAGACCAGUUUGAGUCGAUUACUUGACUUUGGCUAGUUGGAGCCUGAUUGAGCUCGACAGAGAUACGCUGCA